UGGGUAGGUGGGUGGGUGGAGGGGUUAGUGCUUGGGCGGGUGGGUGGCCGGGCAGCACAUGCAAAGUGGACUAGGGUGCAUUUCCUAAGGGAGGGGGUGUGACCCCAAGAAAGGCUGCGGAAUAGCCCUGGAACAUUUAAAAGGCGACCUGAACUGGGUCACCAUGCUGUCCAGUAGAAAAAACUGACAGAACACGGUAAACCAGCAACAAUGGAAAAAAUACAAAUCACUAUAAAAAGAAAUAAAACACUUGGAGUGCCUGUCAUGGCACAGCAGAAACGAAUCUGACUAGGAACCACGAGGUUGCAGGUUCGAUCCCUGGCCUCACUCAGUAGGUUAAGGAUCCGGCAUUGCCCUGAGCUGCGGUGUAGAUCGCAGACACGGCUCAGAUCUGGCGUGGCUGUGGCUGUGGCUGUGGUGUAGGCCGGCAUCUGUAGCUCCGAUUAGACCCCUAGCCUGGGAACCUCCAUAUGCCACGGGUGUGACCCUUAAAAGCAAAACAAAAACAGAAACAAAAAAACACUGACUUUUUAAGGUGUUAAAAAUUAAUAAAUAAAGACCAUCUGACAUGUACACAGAGUACCUCUAGCAGGAAACAGGACCCUCCCCUGGGAAAGGGCAGCCAGACCCCAACCCCUGCAGCCCCCUGUACCAGCCCCCUUUUAAACCACCUCCUGAGGCAGUUUUCAACCGCCUGCUGCCCACCAGCACUGCGGACCCCUCCCCGCUCUGAAUGAAGGCGACCGUAACAGUGAGUGGCAGUCACAAAGUCUCACUCAGCAGAUACAUGGGUCCGGCCCAUUUUACAAAAGGACUGGAUGGAAUGCGAGCAACUCCCCUGGCCAUGAAGCGAGUGACGGGGCCCGCACCGUGGGGACCGUGCCCAGGUGCAGGUGACGUGGGACGGCCUGUGUCAGCCACCGACUCACCUGGGCUCUUCUGAGAAGAGACUGAGUUAGCGCUGGAGCCUGGCUGCGGGGCUUGCCCACCUGGGGCUGGGAAGGGUGCCCCGAGGAGGGCACGCAUGGCAGAGGCAGGGCAGCUGGCGCUGCAGGAACAGAGGCGCCUGUGCACCAGGGCGGGGGUGGCCAGGCGGCUGGAGGGUCUGAAAACCCAGGCCAAGAGUUGGGAUUUUCCUCUGCCGGCAACGAGGCGCCUCUAAGGCUUAAGGGAUUCCCAAAGCAUUUUCAUUGUUUAAAAACUGUGCAAAUUGGCUGCAUAUCACCUUGAACUCUCCUGAGGAACGUUACCAAAAUUUAAAAUAAUAGCGCUGCUCCUGUGAAGGCUAAAGAGCGAUUGGGGACCAGCGGUUCCCCGGCACUCGGCCCGAGAGCCAGACUACUCACCCCAACCCCAGGCACAGUGCGGCCCGUGAGGUCACCCGACCAGAGACACCAACACAGGCCGGGGGAUGCAGCCCGAGGGACCCGGGUGGUGAGGGGUGGCAGCUGGAGCAGGAUUUUAGGCCUCACCGUGGGAAAGGCCGGGCUGAGGGGGGUGGCCUGGCCGGCUUCGCUCUGGAGCGGGCGGGUGCCGGGGGCUCCUCCCGCCUCUGCGCCCCCUCGGGAGGACCCCUCCGCUGGUUUGGGUGAGCGACAGCACGGCUCCCCGCCCAGCGUGGGGACCGGGGGUGGGCCUGUGGGCUCCCCAGCCCCUCUCAGUUCCUGCCCAACCCGGCACACCUGCGGAUGAAGCCAGGCCCACGAGAGACCCGCCGCUGCGGGGGCAGCAGGCCGCUCCUCCCCCCGCCCCCGCCCCUUCGUGCAGGAGGCCGGAGCCACGGCGAAAGCUCAGGCUUCCUCUGUCAUUAUCGUGGUCAGCGCUCACAGCACCAGACAGGCCAGGACGCUCAGAGAGCUCCAGGUCUGCCCCCAAGGCCACACAGCACCGGCAUGGGCUGCGACCUCCCAAGGACUCUGCAGGUACCGCCGGCCCCAGCCGCUCUGUGCCCUGCUCACCUCCUCCGAUACCUGCUGUCUCAUUUUCCGAUUUAGCCCCAGCAGCGCAGGAGAAGCCUGGAGGCAGCUGGCCCUGCCUCGGGGUAGGAGGUGGGGUGGGGGCACACGGAGCCCUGGACUGCUCCGCAUCCCGGGGCCAUCUACCCAGGGCCCUGCUCCCUGACGGAUUCCAGAACAGUUCACCUCCCUGCCCCCGGAACCAUGGAAAUGCUCCAGAAAUUCCGAUCGUACGUCGCUCAAAAGGGGCCCGGCCACCCCGAGCACUGCCCCUCGAAGGUGCUCCUCUGACCUCUGCUCUUCAACCAGAUCCCAGACGGCCAGUCACACCCCGCGAGCGCAGAUCAGGCCCUAGGCCAGGCCCCAGGCCACCCUCACCGCCAGCACGCGGCUCGCACGGCCGCUGAGCCACCACAAAGGCAGGUGGGAAGGAAGCCGCCCCCUCCCCACCCAGAGGACCACUGGGCAGGCAGGACGCCCCGUCGUGGGGGAGGCCCGAGAGCCGGUCCCCGCCACCUGGGAACAGCACCGCUGCCUUUCCUCUGAGUUAAGGCAAACUGAGUCCCGGGGAAGCAAACCUUUUAAACAGAUGUUUCCUCUUGGCACGGAGCCCCCGGGCGGGGCCUGCCUGCUCGCACACGGAGGCGCAGGGGGACCGAGUGAUUUCAAUUCUUCUUUUUAGGAAGGGGGAGGAAAAUAUUUUUAAAAAUGUGUUUUACAAGCCUGCCUUUGCCAUUGUUUGUGUAAACAGGUAAAUUGUUUCCUGCCUCAAUUAAAAACAUCUGCCACAUAAAUGAAUACCAA